AUUGAACGCUGGCGGCAUGCCUUACACAUGCAAGUCGAACGGUAACAGGUCUUCGGAUGCUGACGAGUGGCGAACGGGUGAGUAAUACAUCUGAACGUGCCUAGUAGUGGGGGAUAACUACUCGAAAGAGUGGCUAAUACCGCAGGAGAUCUACGGAUGAAAGCAGGGGAUCGCAAGACCUUGUGCUACUCGAGCGGCCGAUGGCAGAUUAGGUAGUUGGUGGGAUAAAAGCUUACCAAGCCGACGAUCUGUAGCUGGUCUGAGAGGACGAUCAGCCACACUGGGACUGAGACACGGCCCAGACUCCUACGGGAGGCAGCAGUGGGGAAUUUUGGACAAUGGGCGCAAGCCUGAUCCAGCAAUGCCGCGUGCAGGAUGAAGGCCUUCGGGUUGUAAACUGCUUUUGUACGGAACGAAAAGCCCUGGGUUAAUACCCUGGGGUCAUGACGGUACCGUAAGAAUAAGCACCGGCUAACUACGUGCCAGCCGCCGCAGUAA
rnacentral:rRNA from 1 species